rnacentral:pre_miRNA from 1 species
AGUAGGAUAACUGGGUCAUAUGGUGGUUCUAUUCUAAGUCUUUUGAGGAAUAUGGAUACUGCUUUCCAAAGUGGUUGUAAUAAUUUGCAGUCCCACCAGCAAU